AUUGAACGCUGGCGGCAAGCCUAACACAUGCAAGUCGAACGCGUGGCGGACGGGUGAGUUAUGUCUGGGAAACUGCCUGAUGGAGGGGGAUAACUACUGGAAACUGUAGCUUAUACCGCAUACCAUCGGAUGUGCCCAGAUGGGAUUAGCUUGUGGGUGGGGUAAAGGCUAACCUAGGAUACGAGCCCUAGCUGGUCUGAGAGGAUGACCAGCCACACUGGAACUGAGACACGGUCCAGACUCCUACGGUAGUCAGCAGUGGGGAAUAUUGCACAAUGGGCGCAAUCCUGAGGCAGCCAUGCCGCGUGUAUGAAGAAGGCCUUCGGGUUGUAAAGUACUUUCAGCGGGGAGGCGUUACCCGCAGAAGAAGCACCGGCUAACUCCGUGCCAGCAGCCGCGGUAAUAC
rnacentral:rRNA from 1 species